GAGGCCUUAGCUUAAUUAAAGCGUUGAUUUGCAGUCAGAAUAUGUAGGUUAAAAUUUACAGGUCUUC
rnacentral:tRNA from 1 species